rnacentral:rRNA from 1 species
GACGAACGCUGGCGGCGUGCCUAAUACAUGCAAGUCGAGCGCAGGAAGCCGUCUGAACCCUUCGGGGGGACGACGGUGGAAUGAGCGGCGGACGGGUGAGUAACACGUAAAGAACCUGCCCAUAGGUCUGGGAUAACCACGAGAAAUCGGGGCUAAUACCGGAUGUGUCAUCGGACCGCAUGGUCCGCUGAUGAAAGGCGCUCCGGCGUCGCCCAUGGAUGGCUUGGAGGUGCAUUAGCUAGUUGGUGGGGUAACGGCCCACCAAGGCGACGAUGCAUAGCCGACCUGAGAGGGUGAUCGGCCACACUGGGACUGAGACACGGCCCAGACUCCUACGGGAGGCAGCAGUAGGGAAUCUUCCACAAUGGACGAAAGUCUGAUGGAGCAACGCCGCGUGAACGAUGAAGGCUUUCGGGUCGUAAAGUUCUGUUGUAAGGGAAGAACAAGUGCCGCAGGCAAUGGCGGCACCUUGACGGUACCUUGCGAGAAAGCCACGGCUAACUACGUGCCAGCAGCCGCAGUAA